AGCUAGAUAGCAAAAUAGGUUUUAUGCGUAAGAUUGCAAAUCUUAAUAAUGUCGGUUCGAGUCCGAUUCUAGCUU
rnacentral:tRNA from 1 species